CCUCCAUCUAACCAUCUGUUUCUUCUGCCUGUGCACCUGAGUGAUCAUGAUGAUGAGCGGAGCGUCGUCCCAGAACUUCUCCAUGCAGCAUGGAAAUUCUUCUCCCACUCCGGUACACCGAUCAGGUCGUCGCACGGCUCGCAUGGCGGCUGUCACUCGAUCUCCGGCCGAACACGUCGUCGAUCUCCUCCGGCUAUUUUCUUUCCACAGAAGAAAAAUGGCGGCCGGCGCUGGAAAGUCCAGGGAUCGUGGAGUGGAAGCCGGCCAGCCACCAUUUUCAUCAGUGUACUUGGCCAACGGCCAGGGCGUGUCCUGUGUGCUAGGCUGCUAGCUCUGUGCCCAUCGAGUCAUAUUCUACCCUGUAUUGCAGGGAAAUUCUUCUCUCUCCCUGUGGU
rnacentral:lncRNA from 1 species